rnacentral:tRNA from 5 species
GCCGCGUUCGUCUAAUGGUUAGGACAUUAGGUUCUCAGCCUAGUAAUAAGGGUUCGAUUCCCUUACGCGGUA